CGAGACCCGACCCCUCGGGGCGGCCUCCUACCCGCACGUGCUUCUCCCUUUCUCUUCCACCUCCUGUCUGUAUCUCUCCUGUCGUCACUGCCGUUGUCGUGGUGGAAGCAGUAAACCCUGAGGGACUUGAGGGUCACGUGGCUGGUGCCGCGCACCUUCCGGAACCUGAAGAGCGCACAGUCUCCCUCCUGUGCGGGGCCGUGAUGCACAUUUCACAACAUGAAGAACGCACACAUUCACUUUGCAGCUGUGACGCACAUUUUACAACCGAAAAGGCGGGUGGUUGUCGCUCCUCUCCCUCGUUUCUCCAGCAACCGACGUCAGAGUCUGCGCUGCCGAUAGACACACUAACAACCCUACGUCAGUGAGAUAAACCCGGCAAAAUCUCAACAAAUCAGGUCGUAUCCCACGAUUAGAUAUCAUAAUCCGAGGUGGUUGUUUUUUUUUUGUUUUUGUUUUUUUCUGGCUCCACCAGUCUUCAAAGCAGAUGUUCUCUGCGCUUCAAAGUUCACUUCCUCGGCACGAAGCACGUCUCCUGUUUAUUUUCCCCCCACCGCCGUCAAAGAAACCAAUGUUAUUCCACUCUGCAACGGCAUGUUAUCUCCUUGGCCUCCCAGCUGUACCUUUGUGUAGAAGUAUGCGCCUCUGGAAACGAGAAAGAUUUCAGGAAGGUCAGCAAGCAAGGACUAACCCACACCGCUGGGCAAAAUCCGUCCACGAUAUCUGCCCGACUAGCGACCGAGGCGCAGACACAGCAGUCACUUCCUUUGUGCGGAGUCGCUGGACCGUGAAGCGACGGUACCAGUUCCGAUAUGGUCCAAGCAACUCUAUCCCCUGGGACAAUGCCAUGAGGAAUAAUUUCCUACCACGAUAAGGCCGUGGGUUUGGGUCGGUUCCAAGCCAAAGCACUUCAGCAAAGCCGAUCAAUGACCUGACGGUGGCGGUGGUGGUUGUAGGGGCAGAUCUCCCGCCCCCCUCUUCAUUCAAUAUCUACCCCAUGUUUCGGGAGACAGCAUCCACGUCACGGACUGCCCCACUGGAACCGCAGGAACUUGAUCUCCCUGCAGGUGUCUGUGUGUGAGCGGAGCCUCACGAGAAGGGGUUAAGGUGGUAAGAUUCCAGGCAGCCGCCUUCUUCUCUACCUGCCAGCGGUCUGAGGCGAAAGGAGGCGCGCAAUAGUAAUAACAGCCCAGCGGCGUGCAUUCCACGCGCUUUGGCCAGGUAAGCAGAGUACGGGAAGGGGGGUGGAUGAACGAGAAACCACGCAACAACGGCCGCUGCCUCUCGCCCCCUCCCUCUCACACGGCGCACGGAGGCAAGGCAGCAGCUACACCCUCCGCCUAAGUCACGUCGGCCUGCUGCGGUGACCCCGUGCGCACUUUCCGCGCCUCUGACCUCCGCCGGCACGUGUCCGGAGCUGACAAAGCAGGCGACAGGUAGACAACGUACCUGUCUGUGUAUGUGGCGACGGCAGGUGCGACGGGCGAGGUUCAGGAGGUCAAGGCUUCAAGGUACCCUUUCCUGUCAGCUGAGUCGACUGGUUUGGUCAGGUGAAUCAGGGGAAGGAGGCAGAGGGGCGAAGAGGGUGAGCAUAAACCAGUGAGGAUCGUGGAUCCUAUCUGCCCUCCGGCAAGUCAUUUUCGUCUGGACGAGGUAUCUACUGAGCGAGUUCGACGGACCAAGUACAAUGGUAAAAUUU